UAAUGAUGGUGAGGGAAAUUCUGAGCAUAGCCUUGAAUCUUUCCCAAGCAUGGUAAAUAUUCUCUAUAUCUUUCUGCCUUAAACUUAGAAUCUCACUUCUCAAAUG